AGGGGCCGCAGCUAAGGGAUAAGGGCCCAAUUUCCAGUCCAAGACGUCGAGGACGGAGAACAAAGUCAUUCCAGAGUCUUAAACCUCUGGGCACUGAGAGUGACUAGCCUGCGGAGGGUCGGAAGAUUCCCACCAGGGGUUUGAGGAGGCCAGAGAACAGAGGGUGGACAAUCACAAGGAAAGAAAGAUAAGGCUCUCGAAUCGAGGGGCCAGCCUAGAAAUCCCCAAACAAUGGACAAAGCUCGGGCUGAGUGAGCGGCUAGAGGUGUCAAGAAGGUGAAGCCGGUGGGCGGAGGGAAACAAAAGCCAGAAGCCCCCAAGUGUGGGCCCGCAGCACGGCGGCGGCGGCGAUUACCUGUGAGAGCUGCCGGGGAUUGGGACAGCCGAAGAGCGCGGAGCUGGAGCUGAAGCUGAUGGCUCCUCGGCGGCUGAGGACGUGCUGGGGGACCGGCCUGUCCAGGGGCAGCACCGGCAGCUGGUAACAUACUUCCAUUGAAUACGCCCGCCCUGCCUCCGCGCGGCGCCCGCCCUGUCGCGGCCGCCGGCCCCUGCGCUGGGAGGGGGCCGCGGCUCAGGGCGCCGGGCCGAGGCGGGGGCAGGGCGGGCGCGCGCCGACCCUGGACCGGGAAGCCGCGCUCACACCUCCCUCAGCCCAGCCCUCCGCCCCGAUCGCCGGCGGGAAGGAGCUGCGGCGACCGCGGCGCCGGUUACCAGGACCCGCGCGCGGGGCUGCAGGCUAGGGGGACUGGGUGCAAGCCGGAGCAGCACAGGCAAAGUCGAAAGGGAACGCCGCCCCAGAGCUCCUCCGCCAAGAGGUGCGGGUUCCCGACAGCCGAGCAAGGAUGGAGCUGAGCGGUGCAAGGAAGACGGCUGUAGCCAGCGGCCAGACCCAGGGCGCGCGGGCUCGGGACCAGGGACCAGCGACCAGCUCGGGCCGCAGCCGCCGCCGGAGCCCUGCCCCUCCCCUCCCCCGGAGCCUGACUUCACAUUCACACUUUGCAGCCGCGGACCCUGCGCCAACCACGGCCGCCGCCACCGUGACGUCACGACGCCGCGCCGCAGGCCCAGCGCCCCGUGCUGCCGCCGCAGCGCCCAGGGAGACCAGCUAGCGGCCAAGGGUGCGAGCAGCCUUCGUCCAGUUCCGCACCCAGCGCUGGGUCCCGGACCACACUUCUCCUUCCUCCCCCACCCUUCUCAUCCCGUCUCCCCGCAACCCAAGGCGCGUGCGCAUGAGUCCCCGAGGUUUGGGGGCAUCCCCAUCAGCUCUAAACUCUUGAGUUGGAGCGCACUGAGGGUAUGGGGUGGGCUCAGCCAGCUCCAGAGGUGCCAUUUCGGUGUAGCGACACCAGAAACCCAAAGCACGUGGCGCACUCGUAGCGCUCAACCCUGAUCGCGAGGACACCGCCGGCUUUCCCUCCUUGAAAAUUCCAGUUCUUGGGCUGCGUUCGGGACCGCUGCGGCAGUGACGUCAACGGACCUCGCGGUGCCCCAUCCUCCCCGCUACGUCACUGCCAGUCCCUUGGAGGGGCCGGGCUCCAGCGUUCCCCUGACAGGGGCCUCCACUGCACCUCCAACUUACUUCUCACAUCUUCAUGUGUCAUCCUGUCGGGAGCAGCCUGCAGAGACUUCGGCCCUGCUACACUUUGCCUGGCUUCCCAGGCCUUCCUUUGAAAUUUCAGUGGACACCUCCAUGACUCCCUGACUCCAGCAUCCUGCAUUCCUGCAGAACCAGCACACUGUGGUUGAUCUCAAGGUUCCACCUGCCACACACUGGUGACAGCAGCUCUGGGCGAAUACGCUGGACCAGCUGGCCAGUGAACCUGCAGAUCAUUCUUGCCGUCAGAUUGAGCCUGACUUUCACUUCCAUGGCAUUUGUUCCUUUUUCUCUCAAGUAGGUAAUUUCCCUUAACUGUCUCUACACUGUUUUAUUGAGGAUUCCUGCAGACUCAGGAAUAUAACUCCAAUUUUUAAGUUUAUUUGCUAUAACAAAAGGUGAAAGUGUGUGCAUAUGUGUAUGGCAGCCUGAAUUCCUUUUAGAUCACAUGACUUAUGUUUGUGUGGAGACAUGAGUGCCUCUCAAUGUAGAUACCCUCACACAAGUGAGAUCAGAUGAGAUCAGGAGCAGAAAAAUUGAAGCUGGUGAUGUGGAAAAUUCAAGCCCCUCUUUCUGCCCAGAUCUUACCAAGUCUUGGGGAGAGACCUUCACAGUAUGUUCCAAUGUCAUAUGUUUUUGUAAAGUGUGUUAAGGGAAGAUGCUAAGGCCAAUGUCAACUAAUAGUGGUCUCUUAUCCCUUUGACUUCCCCUCUCUAGUACUUGCCUUUAUGUUUGAUGAUGGUGGAGAAGAUGUAAGUAUUUAAGGUUCUAGAUAAGGGGAAAUUCAGUUGGUAAUACAUUUAAUUUAGGUUUCAUGGAAUAAAUAGUUUUCCCUUGGUAUCUGAGACUCAUAUCUAGUCCAAUACCCUUGAGGAUACCCAAAUCUGCAGAUGCUGAAGUCUCAUAUAUAAAAUGAUGUAGUAUUGGCAUCACCUACUUUCAUACUCCUGUAUACUUUAAAUCACCUGUAGAUAACUUACACUUAAGACACUGUAAAUUCUAUGUAAAUCAUGGUUCUACUACAUUGUUUAGGCAUUAAUGACAAGAAAAAGAGCCUGUACAUGUUUAAAAUAGAUACAAUUAAAAAAUAUUGGGCUGGGGAUAUAGCUCAGUUGGUAGAGUGCUUGCCUCGCAUGCACAAGGCCCUGUGUUCAAUCCCCAGCACCAAAAAAAAAAAAAAAAAAAAAAAAAAAAA